rnacentral:rRNA from 1 species
ACGCUCGACACCUACGGGAGGCAGCAGGUGGGGAAUAUUGCACAAUGGGGGAAACCCUGAUGCAGCGACGCCGCGUGAAGGAAGAAGUAUCUCGGUAUGUAAACUUCUAUCAGCAGGGAAGAAAAUGACGGUACCUGACUAAGAAGCCCCGGCUAACUACGUGCCAACAGCCGCGGUAAUCUGAGGCGGGCUGGCAAGGC